rnacentral:rRNA from 1 species
UACGUAGGUGACAAGCGUUUGUCCGGAUUUACUGGGCGUAAAGAGCGCGCAGGCGGUCGUUCAAGUCGAGUGUGAAAGCCCCCGGCUCAACUGGGGAGGGUCACUCGAUACUGAUCGACUCGAAGGCAGGAGAGGGUAGUGGAAUUCCCGGUGUAGUGGUAGAAAUGCGUAGAUAUCGGGAGGAACACCAGUGGCGAAGGCGACUACCUGGCCUGUUCUUGACGGCUGAGGCGCGAAAGCUAGGGGAGCAAACGGGG